rnacentral:rRNA from 1 species
AUGGUGAAAGGGCAGAAUCCAGAACGCAAAAAUAGAGAGAGACAGAGAGACAGAUCCAAUCUCGGAGGGGCUCUCGCCCCUCCCAUGCCAUGGAAGCCAAGGACCAGAGGGGAAACCCUCCUCCCAUCCAGGAGAAGGUCAAGGAAGAAGAAGAAGGAGGGGGGCUCUCUCCCCCUCGCUUCCGGUGGCGCCGGAACGCCGCCGGGGGCCAUCAUCAUCACCGCGAUCUUCACCAACACCUACACCAUCUUCACCAACAUCUCCAUCACCUUCCCCCCUCUAUCUACAGCGGUCCACUCUCCCUCAACCCGCUGUACCCUCUACUUAAACAUGGUGCUUUAUGCUUCAUAUUAUUAUCCAAUGAUGUGUUGCCAUCCUAUGAUGUCUGAGUAG